rnacentral:lncRNA from 1 species
UUGGAAUGUGUAACCCUUGCCAUCAAAUAUAUAAAUAGACAAUGAAUCAUCCCACUUUCCACGUUACAAACAUGAUGUCACACAUCUACCUAGACAGGCAUUUCGGUUACAUUACCAAUAAUGCACAUCUAAUCACAAACUGUACUUCUAGGAGAGCUAUCAUGGUACAGUAAUCGUAGCAACUUCAUGGGUCAUGGCUACACUAGCUCUGUGGUGACCACUGAACUCUACAGCUACGGCUGUUUUGU